ACCCAGGGCCGUGACUGGCGUGCAGCGGGUGGAAUCGACCACCGGGGAGCGGUCCUGGGCGGAGGACGGCACCGAACGCCUGGGUGUUCCGC
rnacentral:ncRNA from 2 species